AAAAACUUUUCAAAACAUAGCUUCUAACUAUGUAAAAGUAAUAUACAUUUACUAAAGUUUU
rnacentral:tRNA from 1 species